rnacentral:lncRNA from 1 species
CCUCUUGAAUUGCUAGAAUUUUUCUCAGCUCCUUAAGCUCUCGAGAUAGUGCAGGAAAGAAACCUCAGUGCUUAGUGUCUUAACCAAUGUAUUUUUAGAAUGUGGGAUCAUAAAACGUGCCUGUGUGACGGGUGUUCUGAGUCUCUAAGGCCCAAGAGGAAGAAACACAGCUGUCUUCUACAUGGAAACGGGAAAGAUGCUCACCCUAUUCACACCCCUAAGACUGGCCAUGGCUCUCAAAUUUCUUUGAUCUCUCCAGGCAGGCAUGUAAGAAUCGGGAAGACAUAAAGAACCAGAAUGCAUCACUCGAAGCAACUGCACUGAAUCCUGGCAGAUAUGUGCUCUGCUUUCCUGAGUAACCCUGGAGAAUUAGCAGCCAUUGCCAGGGCCCCUGAAAAGCUCUUGAGAAGGUCAGUCUUGUGCCCUGCAUUCCAAACCUCCCUAUUCUUUGAGUGUUCGCUUUUCACCCCAUUUAUUGUUCUCUAGCUAUUAAACUUUCUCCAGCUGUCAUCUGCCUUCUAAACUCUCUCCCUUCCCUGCCUGUUCUACUGAUGCACACAGAGAUUUGCCUCACUUCUUCACUGAGUUAAUGCUGCAGUCCCAUGGGUUCCCACCUGCUGUGACUGAUUAAAACACAUCUUAAGGGAUGAAUAAGACCUGAGGAAUAUUUGCAGUUUGGAAAAGUGGUCUAAUGUCUUACCUGAUCUUCUAGGACCUGCACUAUGUAGACAGGAUUGCAACCUCCUGUGUGCAUGAAGUCCCCUUUGUAAGCUAGGGGUUGCUAAACAAAGCCUUGCUUCAGUGGAAGUCACAUGUAAGCAGUCAUGGCCUUCUACGUGACAAGAGCCUCGUGGACAUCCCAAAGUCGUGGUUUUGGAGGUACAAUUGUUGACAAUUUUCUAAUCAGACCAAGUAGGAAAUGAUGGCUUUUAGACAAAGGGAUUUCCUAACCACUGUGAUUUUUGUGGUCUUACAGCACAGACUGCAGAAAAUGCAAACUGUGACUUAAAAUAGUUAAGCAGUAAGAAUUCCUUAGUCAUCCUGACCCAGAACCAGAGUAGGGUCCCUCCUUAAUUUUCCCUUAGAGGAUUUCAUCCAUCAUCACACAUCACUGGGGCAAAUCAGAGUGCUCACUCCUCUGACGAGCACUGACAGGGAGUGGAGCAGAUCCCUGUGCAUAUGUCAUCUCUCCUGAGAGGCCUAGGAUUAGUAAAGGAGAGGGCCCUAGACAAAGGUUGGGCUUUCUGUUUAUUUGUCACAGAGCCAUCACAAUUUAGUAAAUAAAUGAUAGGAGUGACAUCA